GGGGCCAUAGCUCAGUUGGUAGAGCGCUUGAAUGGCAUUCAAGAGGUCAGGGGUUCGAUUCCCCUUGGCUCCA
rnacentral:tRNA from 3 species